rnacentral:rRNA from 1 species
AUUGAACGCUGGCGGCAGGCCUAACACAUGCAAGUCGAACGGUAGCACAGAGAGCUUGCUCUCGGGUGACGAGUGGCGGACGGGUGAGUAAUGUCUGGGAAACUGCCCGAUGGAGGGGGAUAACUACUGGAAACGGUAGCUAAUACCGCAUAACGUCGCAAGACCAGAGUGGGGGACCUUCGGGCCUCACACCAUCGGAUGUGCCCAGAUGGGAUUAGCUAGUAGGUGGGGUAAUGGCUCACCUAGGCGACGAUCCCUAUCUGGUCUGAGAGGAUGACCGGCCACACUGGAACUGAGCCACGGUCAGGACUCCUACGGGAGGCAGCAGGGGGGAAUAUUGCACAAGGGGCGCAAGCCUGAUGCAGCCAUGCCGCGUGUAUGAAGAAGGCCUUCGGGUUGUAAAGUACUUUCAGCGGGGAGGAAGGCGGUGGAGUUAAUAACUUCACCGAUUGACGUUACCCGCAGAAGAAGCACCGGCUAACUCCGUGCCAGCCGCCGCCGUAA